GAUGAACGCUAGCGGGAGGCCUAACACAUGCAAGCCGAGCGGUAUUGUUUCUUCGGAAAUGCGAGAGCGGCGUACGGGUGCGUAACACGUGUGCAACCUGCCUUUAUCUGGGGGAUAGCCUUUCGAAAGGAAGAUUAAUACUCCAUAAUAUAUUGAACGGCAUCGUUUAAUAUUGAAAGCUCCGGCGGAUAGAGAUGGGCACGCGCAAGAUUAGCUAGUUGGUGAGGUAACGGCUCACCAAGGCGAUGAUCUUUAGGGGGCCUGAGAGGGUGAUCCCCCACACUGGUACUGAGACACGGACCAGACUCCUACGGGAGGCAGCAGUGAGGAAUAUUGGUCAAUGGGUGCAAGCCUGAACCAGCCAUCCCGCGUGAAGGACGACUGCCCUAUGGGUUGUAAACUUCUUUUGUAUAGGGAUAAACCUACCCUCGAGAGGGUAGCUGAAGGUACUAUACGAAUAAGCACCGGCUAACUCCGUGC
rnacentral:rRNA from 1 species